rnacentral:tRNA from 1 species
UGGCUCAGUUGCUGAGGGCAUGGCGCUAGCAAAGUCAAGGUUGUGGGUUCAAGUCCCAC